AAUGACUAUAAAUUUGAAAUGAGGGGUUUUCAGGCAGGGACAUGAGAACAGCACUAGCAUUUCUUUACAGGUGUGCACAGGCAGGCAAACACAAGAGUGGCUCUACAGGGCCCAGGCCCAGAGCCAGGCCCCAGAGCCCCUGCCCGGCCGCCCGCGCGCUCCCCUCGCUGCACUUCCGGGCACGGCCGACAGGGGGCGCUGCUGCUCCCGGCGGGCAGCGCGGCUGCAGGGAUUCCGCCGCGCCGGCAGGGGGCGCUGUGCCGCGGGCGCGGGGAGGACGCGGUGAUGGCGGCUCGGCCCCGCCGGGAAGGGCUGGCAGGGAGGCUUUGCUGCACGAACCCUGGGGCAGCCGGGCCCGCUGCCCGGCAGGACAGAAAGGGGCGAGCCCAGGAUCCCGGGCACCCGAGCAGGUGGGCGUUGGUCUCUCUUUCAGUGAGGAUCAUGUCUGCAUAGACUGUCUUCAAGAUUUUAUCCAAAAAUUUGCAAGACUGCAGAUUUUUCUUCUAGGAAAGUUCAGGAGAUGGACAGAGCAAUGUGCCUGUAUGACAGCCUUAUUUCGGUAAAAUGUGGGCUCACUGGAGGUGACCAAGAAGUUGUCAGCAGGUCUUACUCUGCUAUUGAAGUUGCAUGCUUCAGUCAAGACAAGAAUUAGAUUCUCUGCAUCCCAGACAUCCAAUUGCAAUUACAGCAUCUUUAUAAGCUUCAUCAUGGUAAUGUAUAUGAUUGGUUCUUGUUCUGUACAAGUUCCUGAAGGAGACACUAUCUGGGAUAAAAAGUUAUUUAGGACAAGUAUCUGUUCUACAGCUUAACUCUGAUGGAAGCAAUCUUGUUGGGAGUUCUUUUCAUGUCUGUAUUUCUCUGUUUCUCUAUUUAAGUAUCAUGACCCUUCUGAUUUAGUAUUUUGUGUAUUAUGUGGGCAAGCAGGUAUUCUUAUCAUUAUUAAUGUGUACAUUUUUUUUUGGUGUUUUCACUUCAUAGCAGAAUUGUUACAAUUUCAGGGUCAACAGCUUUUACCCUCAGCUAUUGCUUAAAAUCUUUCCCUCUAAACUAUUAUCUACACAUAUUAAUAACCCAGUGAUAACUCAAAAGAUCAGUAGAGUUUAAUGGCCUAAAGCUUUGUAUUUAUUUUUGAGGUACUGCACUAUACCAACACACUUCUAUCAUGUCACAUUUUGUUACACAAACUUACAGUGGGAAGAAAUUUAACAGGAAGUGACAUGGUUUAAGUGAUGCACUGACAUGUAUAAUUUAAGGAUUGUAAUCUUAUUGGAAGCAGACACCUGCAAUUAAUUUAGAUAUUGGGAAUUCAAAAUGAAAGUUCUUAAAGCCAGAAGGAACUUAUGAUGCACAUUAGGCUCAUGAACUGGUGAAUUUAUCGGUUUAUCUAGAAGAGCAGCACAGUUAGAGUUACUAAAUCUUGUACACUCUUUUGUGGAGUACCAUUGUUGCUUUGAUGAAUCUAUAAAACAUUUAGAAAUUAUUCAGCUCCUGCCCUAUCCAUGAAGACAAAGCUUGAUUUGAAAGCAGUUUUAAAGGGAGAUGUCUUUGCUUCCUUCAAUAUCCAAAUCGGUGAUUAAAUUAAUGAAGGAAAUUACAGUUACUAUCAGUGGUGCUGCGUUGGUGAGUGUAUUGGAUACUAAGCAGAGAUACUGUUCCAUGGAUAUGACCACAAGUCAUAAUUCUUUAUGAGCUAUUUUGCAGAUAUAUGAAGUUACAUCUUACAUAUACCUCUUCAUAAACAAUUUUAAUACAGCAAAACAUGCAGGCCUUAACAUAGGCCUACCUAUUUCCUAGAUUUUUUUUUCUGUAGUAACAUAAAAGUAAUCUGAAUACAGUAAUUUGAUAAUUUCUAAUAAUUGGAAAAUACUGCUUUGUUUAGCUGUGGCCUACUAUGAAAGCCCUAAAAAACUCUCAAGCCAGCAGCUUGAGUCCUGCAUACUAAUAGUAAGGAACACAGUGGUUUUAUGGUUGAAGGAAUUUUUAUUUUCUGCCUAUUCAAAUGAUUAAACACAUGGUGGGUAUACAUAUACCCAUAUACAUAUACAUAUUUUAAGCACCUGUUUGCUUAAAAGAAAGUAAGAAAAACUCUGGAACACCUUUGAAACAUACAUAAUAUGAAAAAUUACAAAAGAAGAGCAGCAGCAGUAGAAUUCAUGACACCAGUAGUUUCCACUGUAAGUUUAUAUUUACUAAUUUUAUAGAUAAUUCUUCACUGAUUCAAUGUUAGCCUUUAUUUAUUUGUAGUUUGUGUAUUAUUUUCCACUGUAUUUAAAUUAAUCAAAAAGGGUCUAUUGACAGACACCUGAAUAAAUAAAGCAGAGAUUAGGAUCUUUAUUUAAAUCUAACAAUCAUGUGUCUGUUAAUGUUUAAGGUUCUGUAAAAAGUUUUGGCUUUUUCCUCUAAGUGUAAACUUUUCUUUUCCUGAGACUAUGAAUGUUGACAAGAAAAGUAAGAAAAGUAAAGCUUGGAGUGUGCCCUGGCAAUAAGAGAUUACUAUGGCAUCAGGUUAUCACACAUAUUAAGGAAGCCCAACAAUUACAUAAUAGUGCAUGUAUACAGAAGGCUUAGCAAACUCUGAUAUAUCUCAGGUGGACUGAAUGGGUCAAGAGCAGAAAUUCAGGUAAUCAUUGUACUGCAAAGUGGAUGUACCGCUGCCAAGAUCCACCCUUCUGAGCUGAGGCAGCCUCAUACAAAACUGCUGGAAAAUGUC